rfam:Flavobacterium frigoris strain DSM 15719 genome assembly, contig: Ga0131223_102
UUAUAGCCCUGAUUGAAACGGCAUCCUUUUUAUCCUGAACUUGUUUCCAGAUUCUGAAACAAGUUCAGUAUAAAAAGAUAUAGUGGAAAGCAGGAAAUAGC